UGUGUAACCAUGGAGCAACAUCAAGACCAGGCUGCAAAACCAUUCAAAUUUCCAAUCACUUGGCCAAUCACAAUGAUUUCAUGAAAUGUGUGAAAGAUGUAUGGAGCAUGCGGGUCCAGGGUAGUCCAAUGGAAAGAGUGUGGAAGAAACUAAAGCUUAUGAAGAGAGCUAUGAAGAGCUUGAAUCAAAAGGAAUUUUCAAAUGUUGAACUGAAGAUCCAAACAUUUAGACAACAAGUGAGUGACAUACAAAUGCAACUGAGGACCAUUUAUGAUAAUCAACUACUAUAUGACAGGGAGAAGGUGUAAAGCAAGAUCUGGAGAAGUGGAACUAGUGGAAGAGAGUAUUUUAAAACAAAAGUCAAGAGUUCAGUGGCUGGGGCUAGGUGACUUUAAUUCCUCAUACUUCUUUGCCAGUAUGAAAAGUAGAGUCAACCACAAUCAUAUCAAAAAACUUGUAUCAGACACUGGUAGAGUUUUGCAUAACAAAGGGGAUGUUGAAGGGGAAAUUACAGGAUUGUAUUAAAGAUUGUUAGGUUCUAGGUUCUUGUGCUUCAAAGUUGCCAGGUAUUCAGCCUGAUGUUGUGUCCUAUCGCCCUAUCCUCAAGAGAGUUCAGCAGUUGCUCCUUAUUGCCCCAAUCACCAGAGAGGAAAUUCAAAAUGCACUGCAGGACAUCUCUGACCUUAAAGCACCUGGUUGUGAUGGCUUUAAUGCUGUCUUUUUUUAAGAAGGCUUGGCCAACUAUAGGUGAUGAAGUAGCUGCAGCUGUAUCUCAUAUCUUUAAAAGAAAAAGAAGACGUUCAGAGCCAUUAAUUGUACUUCAGUGACUUUGAUUCCAAAGGUGCAAAAUCCUUCCUAUGUUAAAGAAUUUCGACCCAUUUCAUGUUGCACACUGUUGUAUAAACUAAAGUGCUAACCAAGAGACUCCAGGCUAUGAUGGAUAGCAUUAUUGAUAGUAGUCAGACAGCUUUAGUGCCAGGGAGGCUAAUUACUUAUAACAUCUUGUUAAGCCAUGAAUUAGUUAAAGGAUACACUAGGAAGGGAGUAUCAGCCAAAUGCAUGCUCAAAAUUGACAUGCAGAAGGCUUAUGAUUCCUUGGAAUGGGGUUUCCUUGAGCAAGUACUUGUCGCUUUGAAUUUCCCUGUGACUUUUGUGCAAUGGAUAAUGAUGUGUGUGAAACACAGUAUCUAAUUCCAUUCUCAUCAAUGGACAUCCUACAACACUAUUUGCAGCUAAGAAGGGGUUGAGGCAGGGGGAUCCUAUCUCCCUUUUCCUCUUUGUAAUUGCUAUGGAAUAUUUCAGUAGACUGCUUAGACACCUUGGGCAGAAUCCUCAGUUCCACUUUCACUCAAAGAGCAGUAGGCUAAAUAUCAUACAAUUGGGUUUUGCAGAUGACUUCUUGUUAUUCUAUAAAGGGAAUGUGCAGUCUGUGCAACUUCUUUUUGAUAAAUUCACUUUUUUUUUUUUUGCAUCAGGACUUAUUGCCAAUCUUGGCAAGAGUUCAGUGUACUCUGGUGGGUUGAAGGAUGAUGUUCAGCAGGAAAUGUUGGACCUCCUGGGAAUGAGUAAGGGUUCCCUCCCCUUUAGGUACCGAGGUGUUCUACUUAGUACCAAAAGAGUCUUUAUUGUACAAUGUCAACCUUUGCUAGAUAAAAUGCUUGGUAAGAUUAAAUCCUGGACCACAAAGUUUUUGUCAUAUGCUGGUAGAGCCCAAAUAAUCAAAUCUGUCUUGUUUUCAAUUCAAGUAUUCUGGGUACAAGUGUAUAUGUUGCCCAAGAAAAUUAUCCAAGCCAUAGAGGCCACUUGCAGAACCUUUUUAUGGACCAGUGGUACUGAUUUUUCAAAAAAAGCCCUACUAGCUUGGAAGAGGAUUUUGUAAUCCCAAGUUUGCUGGAGACCUGAACAUUCUUGAUGUGGAAAUGUGGAACAAGGCAGCUAUUUGUAAGCUGUUAUGGAAUAUGUGCAAAGCAGGAUAAACUAUGAGUGAAAUGGGCUCACAGUUACUAUGGAAGGAACAGGGACAUGAUAAAUGAUGUGCCCAAACUGGCAUCUUGGAUUGUUCAGAGGAUUCUCAGAGCAACAAAGUAUUCUACUCAGGCUGGGUACUCCAUGGAUGAUGUUCUCAACCAAGCUGUUAUAUGUCAAGCUAAGGGGUCAGUUUCAGAAGGUCCACUGGAGGAGAAUUGUGUGUAAUAAUAUUGGAUUGCCUAGGUGGAUUUUUGUGCUACUGCUCGCUGCAAAUACGAGGCUAUCAACCAGAGACAAACGAUAUAAAUGGGGUGUGACAACUGACCAGCAGUGCCCAUUAUGUGAUGCUGCAAAUGAAAGCCUAGAGCACUUGUUCUUUCUUUGUGAUUUUUCAACUCAGGUCUGGCAAAAGCUGCUCUCAUGGAUGGGGCAUCAGAAGACUUGCUAGAGGUUGGGAAGCAGAGCUUAGCUGGGCAGAGCAGCAUGCUAGGGGUAGAGCCCCUCAAGCUGAAGUGUACCGCAUGAUCCUAGCUGCUGCUGUGUAUAGCUUAUAGAGGGAAAGGAAUCAGAGGAUCUUUCAGCAGAAGUCAACCUGCCAACUUGCUCAUUAAGGUGCUAAUAUAGGAAGUGCAUCAAAGGGUAAACAAGAAACCAAAGAUAGCCAACUGGUUGUCAAACUUCAACUUUUAUCCAUUUUAGUUAUGAACUAGGGGCUGCUUAGAUGAGAGGGUCAUUAUUUUGGAAUGUAUCUGGUGUGCUAUUAGAGUAUUAUGUACUAAUGCUUGAGCUGACUACUGGGGCUUAUUGUCCAGUAGCAUAGCUCCGUUUUCAUGCGCUGUAAAUUCUCACUUUUGGUUAAUAAUACAAGUUAUUUACCAAAAAAAAAAAAAAUAUA